AGUGGCGGGACGGGUGAGUAACGCGUGGAUAACCUGCCUCAUACAGGGGGAUAACAGUUGGAAACGGCUGUUAAUACCGCAUAAGCGCACGAAACCGCAUGGUUUUGUGUGAAAAACUCCGGUGGUAUGAGAUGGGUCCGCGUCUGAUUAGCUAGUUGGCAGGGUAACGGCCUACCAAGGCGACGAUCAGUAGCCGACCUGAGAGGGUGUACGGCCACAUUGGGACUGAGACACGGCCCAAACUCCUACGGAAGGCAGCAG
rnacentral:rRNA from 1 species